CAGCCACAUCACAUUGAAACACUGGUUCCAAUACAAUCACUGAAGUUAAACAACAUUGAGCCUUGUCAGUACCUUAAUGGGUGACCACUUGGGAAUACCAGGUGCUGUAAG